AAGGGCGAAGAGCCGUAAAAUGUCGUAAAGUCAGCAGUCACUGCGGUAUAAAUGUGACGCUCUUCUUCCGUUUCCUUUCUCCUUAACCUCCAACUCGAUUGAGGGUACGCGGGUUUGUGAAGACGUCUGAAUCAAAACUAGGGAGUUCUUGAGUUCCAUCAUGUGGUUUGAAGCCUGUUGUAACCGACAUAUGCAGUAUGGUUUUGGGUGACAUUAAGGGCCCUCCUGUGAAUGGACCGGACAGUAGGUUCCAGAACACAAUGAUUGCUCAAUCCUGGGAGGUUAUAAAUAAAAUUUGCUCCUGAGGAAGCUUGUUCAAAUGGUGUGACCUGAAAGAUGUCCACUAGGAGGCGCACCAUGCCUUUUUUUGGUGAUUGGAGGCGUAUUAGAGGUCCCAUAUGGUGAGACUGAAGAAUAAAUGCUGGCAGGGCAUAGUUCUUACACACAGUGCCACGAAAUGACAAGUUUGGAUUUGGAGUGAAGGGUUUCCUGCCAGACUCGCAAGUUGGUGCUGGUGAGGAGAUCGUACGGCAUGGGAAACUAAAACUUCAUCUGCUUUGGAGUUUUGUGGCGAUACGGUUUUCAAUAAAUCAACUCUAAAACAUA